GCCCCGCGCGCCCCGCGCCCGCCGCCGCGCACACCCCGCCCGCCAAGCGCACGCGCCGCUCAAUUAUAAUGCGAUGACGUGGCGAGAGUGUCGGCGGAGUGAUGUCCGUCACGUGGCGCGCCUCCGACACGGACAGCGCCUCGCCGCGACCGGGAGCUUUACUGUACAGCACGAACUGUAGCAAGAACUGUAGCUCGUUAUAUUUUUGAUAUAUUUUUUGUAUGAUUUUUAUACUUUGUUUUUGUUAAGAAUUAAGAAAGUUUAUACUGAAUAAAGACUGCAAGCCUUGAGCA